rnacentral:rRNA from 1 species
UUCUACAGCUAUACUACCCUGAACGCACCUGAUCUUGUCUUAUCUCAGAACCUAAGUGGCGUCAGGCCUAGUUAGUACUCCGAUGGGAGAAAAUAGUCCUGGAGCUGGGGCUA